AUACGGAGGGUGCAAGCGUUAAUCGGAAUUACUGGGCGUAAAGCGUACGUAGGCGGUUCGUUAAGUUAGAUGUGAAAGCCCCGGGCUUAACCUGGGAACUGCAUUUAAAACUGGCGAACUAGAGUUGAGUAGAGGGGAGUGGAAUUUCAGGUGUAGCGGUGAAAUGCGUAGAGAUCUGAAGGAACACCAGUGGCGAAGGCGACUCCCUGGACUCGAACUGACGCUGAGGUACGAAAGCGUGGGUAGCAAACGGGAUUAGAAACCCUGGUAGUCC
rnacentral:rRNA from 1 species